rnacentral:rRNA from 1 species
UACGUAGGGUGCAAGCGUUAAUCGGAAUUACUGGGCGUAAAGCGUGCGCAGGCGGUUUGCUAAGACCGAUGUGAAAUCCCCGGGCUUAACCUGGGAACUGCAUUGGUGACUGGCAAGCUAGAGUGUGGCAGAGGGGGGUAGAAUUCCACGUGUAGCAGUGAAAUGCGUAGAGAUGUGGAGGAAUACCGAUGGCGAAGGCAGCUCGCUGGGACGGUACUGACGCUGAGACGCGAAAGCGUGGGGAGCAAACAGG